AAAGUUUUUCAAAUUCUUUUUAUUUUAUUUUAUUUUUUGUCAUUAAUAUGUUCUUUAUGCAAUUUGUAUGUAUAAAUUUGAUAACUAACGUCUUUGCAAUCAGUGCAGGCUUCCCUCUGUUAGCUCUGCUUUGUCUACCUUGCUCAUGAUUACCUUUGUAAGUGACUCAAAUAAGAUUCAGGUGUUGUUGUUCACAGUCUAUCUUCCACACUUUUAUUCAUGAUUACCUUCAUCUUGGGAAUAGUUUUAAUUGAUAAAGAAGCUUGUUGUUGCAGUGUUUUAUGUAUGUCUUUAUGAGAAGAUUUAUUUUUUUUCCUUACCCAAGAUUUAAUACUUUCCAACAUAAGUUCUAUGGUACUGAGAAAUCCCAUUCAGGAAUGCUUUUUAUUUAUUUAGUUUCAAUAACUAUGUUCUUGUUAAUGUUUAUUGCUACUUUCUUUUUCUAACUUUUAUAUUAGUACUUUUAUUUAAAAUUAGGUUAUGGUGUCAAUGUAUAUACAUAUAUAUUCUUUACUACUCUCUUUUUUAUCUUAUUGCACGUGAAAUAUCCUUUCUCUUAUUCUAGUUUCUUGUUUGCUUUGCAGAAAUAGUAAUUGAGUUGUUUGAAAGAGAACUAAAGGUUAGAUAUUCAAUGUGGGUAGCUCUUACAAUGAGGUCUUAGUCAAAGAUGAAAGUAAAUAAUUCAAUGUAGUUUUAUUAUUUUAUCCUUUUUUUAUGUUGAUAAUGUGCAUUGCUUGGAGGAAUUACUUUUAAUCAAGUUUAUGAUUAGGAGAAUAUUAUUUAAAUUUUAUAGUUUGACUUUCAUAGAGCCCUAUUGUUCCAUUACAGAACUUUUUCCUGUGUUUUGUUGCAACUACUGGAGUGGAGUGGCUCUUGCUAGAAUAUUUCUGUAUUCAAGGCUGCUAGAGUGGCUUCGUGCGGAAUUACUAUAUUCAAAGGCGAAGUACAAAAAGCCAUAAACAUAGUUUGAAGAAUUUUAAGAUUCUAGAAGACUAGUGAUAAGGGAACUUUGGGCGUUCCUCCAUAGAGGGAGAGUUGGGAGAGAGUUGGGAGUUUGCUUUUAUGUUUUAGUUUGGUCUUUUGUAUUAUACAAUUGGAAAUUUGGUUAUUCAAAUUUAUGUUAAUUUUGUAUUUGAACUCAGAAUUAUUAUGUAUUUCAUAAUAAAAUUUAAUGUUAUGUUUAAA